rnacentral:rRNA from 1 species
UACGAAGGGUGCAAGCGUUACUCGGAAUUACUGGGCGUAAAGCGUGCGUAGGUGGUUCGUUAAGUCUGAUGUGAAAGCCCUGGGCUCAACCUGGGAAUGGCAUUGGAAACUGGCGAUCUAGAGUGCGGUAGAGGGUAGUGGAAUUCCCGGUGUAGCAGUGAAAUGCGUAGAGAUCGGGAGGAACAUCUGUGGCGAAGGCGGCAUCCUGGACCGGCAUUGACGCUGAGGCGCGAAAGCUAGGGGAGCAAACGGG